ACGGAAGGCAGCAGUGGGGGAUAUUGCACAAUGGGGGAAACCCUGAUGCAGCAACGCCGCGUGAGGGAAGACGGUUUUCGGAUUGUAAACCUCUGUCCUCGGUAACGAAGAAAGUGACGGUAGCCGAGGAGGAAGCCACGGCUAACUACGUGCCAGCAGCCGCGGUAAUACGUAGGUGGCGAGCGUUGUCCGGAAUUACUGGGUGUAAAGGGAGAGUAGGCGGGAUUGCAAGUCCGUUGUUAAAUCUAUCGGCUCAACCGAUGGCUGCGGCGGAAACUGUAAUUCUUGAGUGAAGUAGAGGCAGGCGGAAUUCCUAGUGUAGCGGUGAAAUGCGUAGAUAUUAGGAGGAACACCAGUGGCGAAGGCGGCCUGCUGGGCUUUAACUGACGCUGAGGCUCGAAAGUGUGGGGAGCAAACAGGAUUAGAUACCCUGGUA
rnacentral:rRNA from 1 species